CUAUACACACAAUAGAGCACUUCUAUGCACUUUUGUAUUCUUAAUGCUUAUGAGCAUAAGUUUCUAUACAUUGUUGGAGUAGGUCUAUGUUGUUUUUAUGCAACAACAAAUUCACUUUUUAUUCAUCAAAUUACUAAAUUCUAUGUAAUGUCGGCACAAAAAAUAUUUAAGUGUAUCUUGAUCACUGAAUUUAUAAAUCUGGUCGUCUAUCACGUGCUAUUUUUUAAA
rnacentral:lncRNA from 1 species